AGAGUUUGAUCAUGGCUCAGAACGAACGCUGGCGGCAGGCUUAACACAUGCAAGUCGAACGCUCGUCUUCGGACGGGAGUGGCAGACGGGUGAGUAACGCGUGGGAACGUACCCUUCAGUUCGGAAUAACCCAGGGAAACUUGGGCUAAUACCGGAUACGUCCGUAAGGAGAAAGAUUGAUCGCUGAAGGAUCGGCCCGCGUCGGAUUAGCUCGUUGGUGAGGUAACGGCUCACCAAGGCAACGAUCCGUAGCUGGUCUGAGAGGAUGAUCAGCCACACUGGGACUGAGACACGGCCCAGACUCCUACGGGAGGCAGCAGUGGGGAAUAUUGGUCAAUGGGCGCAAGCCUGAACCAGCCAUGCCGCGUGAGUGAAGAAGGCUUAGGGUUGUAAAGCUCUUUCAGCGGGGACGAUAAUGACGGUACCCGCAGAAGAAGCCCCGGCUAACUUCGUGCCAGCAGCCGCGGUAAUACGAAGGGGGCUAGCGUUGUUCGGAAUUACUGGGCGUAAAGCGCGCGUAGGCGGGCAUUUAAGUCAGGGGUGAAAUCCCAGGGCUCAACCCUGGAACUGCCUUUGAUACUGGAUGCCUGGAGUUCGGGAGAGGUGAGUGGAAUUCCGAGUGUAGAGGUGAAAUUCGUAGAUAUUCGGAGGAACACCAGAAGCGAAGGCGGCUCACUGGCCCGAUACUGACGCUGAGGCGCGAAAGCGUGGGGAGCAAACAGGAUUAGAUACCCUAGUAGUCC
rnacentral:rRNA from 1 species